rnacentral:SRP_RNA from 1 species
AACCGGGAAACAUGCGGACAAGCGCCGCCCAACUCCGCCAGGUUCGGAAGGAAGCAACGGUAAGCGGAGGCUGUCGCGCCGUGUCACUCUCGGUCGCG